AUGAAAUUUUCUUCUAGCCAUUGAUAGCAGGACCUUAUCACUUGUGUCUUGCCUUUGUGUAUUCAUUUCACUUUUUUUUCCUCUCAGCCCAUGGUUGACGUCUGAAACUGAAGGUACCUGAAAGAAGAUGAGGACCCCAAAACAGAAAAUCAUUUACCACAUCAGUCCAAGAAACAUGGGGUUGUUACCCCUGUCCAGAGAAUUCAGAGACCAUCAGACAUCACCAGUGUUGACUUCAGUGAACUGUUCUAGAAGUAACAAGAGAGAACACUUUAUAGCUUUUCAAUCUCUCCAGCCAGAAAAUAUUUCCUCAUCUUCCUUGCAGUAAGACUCAGGCAUUGGCUCCACCAAUCAGAAGAGCACAUGGAAGACUGAAAGAUCUCCAAUUGGAGUGAAUGAAACAGGCACUGAGGGCUCCUCAACUGGCCACCGCAGAGACGGCAGAAGCAACUGGCUUUCAGUAGCAGCUGUGGUCUGGAGAUUGGAUUCCUGUUAGAGGCACAACCCUGGUGCCGGUAGCAACAGCAAUUGCAGCAACACUGAGUUCUUGACAUUCAGUUUAGUACAACCCGGACCUUCUAAGUACGUCGUGGCAACAGCUUCCCUAUUAAGCCAAUGUUGUGGUUAGUGUGGGCAGUGUACCUGCAGGUUUAGCCUCCAGCCAGUUGUCCAGCCUCCCAUAGUUCUGUGUUCCCUCUAAUAAACUUGUAAUAAACUUUCUUUUGCUUAAAAAUGAAUCCUAGUGCUUGCAAGUGUCACUAGCAAAAUAGACAAGCAGGAAUCAGAGAAUUAGACUGAAAAACAGCUUUUUUGUUCCCUACCCCAUUCCCUGUUCCAACAAUCCUAUAAGUCCCUAGAUGAAAGUCCUCUUAUACAAGUCCUUCAGUCCCCUUCAGUCACAAGAAUCAUCUCACUUUAGAAACUAAUUUUUCCAGCUCAAUAUAAUAAUCAAAAUUCUGGAAUCUAUUUUAAGUGAAAGCUUCUUUCCUCUCCAGCUUGAAUUGAUUUCACACAGAAGUAUUUAUCUGGGUAGUGGCCCAUUUCUCUCUCUUUGCCCGAUGAGGGUUUCUCUUCCCCUCUCACCAGGCCACUUCUGCUCCUCCAAGAUUGAAGUGAUCGAGAAAAGGGAGAGGCAGCGCAAAAAGACACCCAUAGGCUAAUACAGUGAAUCUGGUGGUGGAUUCCUCUGGCCAUAGCAUGUGUUUAAAGAGAUCUUAUAUUCCAAAGGUCAAGCAAGCAUAUAGUAGAUGCUCAAAAAAGAGUAGUAUUUAUUGACAUUAGAUACCUACCUGAUCUUCCCCUUUAUUCAGCUCUAGCAGCAUUAAGAACAGGGACCACGUCUAGCCUUUGUCUGUACCAUACUCAUGUGUUUUAUUAUGAUGUAUCCCAUCAUACAUAAGAUCACUGAGCUACUGAUUAAGUCACUGUCUUAAGCCUGUUACAAGACUACAUUUGGAUGGAUGCACGUUGAGGCCAUACUCUAAAGUGAUGUAAAUAGGACACACAUGUGUAAAUACUGAAUAGUUGCUCUGGUGUGAGAAACUGAAAGUGUAAAUAAGGAUCAAAAUGUAUAAUAGAUAAUGUGAAAUAGGAAGAAAAGGUCCAAAGGGGAAGGGGAAGUGGGAGAGGUAGGGGACAGGAAAGAAGGGAAAGGAAUAAAU
rnacentral:lncRNA from 1 species